UACGUAGGGUGCGAGCGUUGUCCGGAAUUAUUGGGCGUAAAGGGCUCGUAGGCGGUUUGUCGCGUCGGGAGUGAAAACCCAGGGCUUAACUCUGGGCCUGCUUUCGAUACGGGCAGACUAGAGGUAUGCAGGGGAGAACGGAAUUCCGUGGUGUAGCGGUGAAAUGCGGCAGAUAUCAGGAGGAACACCGGUGGCGAAGGCGG
rnacentral:rRNA from 1 species